CAAUUCUCUUACCUCAGCCUCCAGAGUAGCUGGGACUACAGCUAUGGUCUUGGCAUUGGAUAAACGGGAGUGAACAAAACUAUCAAAACUCUCUCUCUCAUGGAGUUUACAUUUUGAUACCAGAAAUCAUGAAAACAAUGAAGACUAAAGGAACUGACAUUCCAGGAAAGGAAGAACCAUUCCUAAGGUAAGCAAAGAUCACUAGCCAUUUUCUUUCUUAUAGGUUUCCUGUGUAAUUUGUUUUGGAAAUUAAGCCUGCAGUUGCAGAUUUAGGGCUGAGAAUUAUACCUGCAUAGGCAAGAGAAAUGUCUCCAGAGGACAUCUGCUGAGUGCUGGGGUGAUAUACAAACCUGGGGAGUUGGGUCACAAAGACGAAAAAUCUCCUAUGGCCUCCUGGUACUUAGGAGACAACGUCUACUUUGGAAAGGACCUGCAACCCUGUAUCAAGACCACAUGCAGCCAAGACAUUUGCCAGAUUUUGAAGCCACAAAGAUUAGGAAGCAUCUAGACAUUAAAAGAAAAACACGAAUUUUUAAGACAGACAGGAAGAAAGGUACUUGUGACAUGUACUAGAGACAACUGAUUAAUAUUCAGAAUAUAAAAAGAAUGAACUAAAAAAAGACUACCAAAAAGAUAAGUGAGUUAAAGCUAUCAGUUUAUGAAAGAAACACAGAUUGCCAAUAAACUAUUACAUAUGUUCAGUUGUAAUCAGAAAGUUACAAAUUAAAACUCCCAGAUAACAUUUUGUCUUUCAUACUGGCAAAAAAUCAGUAAUAAUAAAAAUGUUUUAAACUAAAAUUCAAUAAUAUGAAACCCUGUGAAAGUAAAAUAUUCCUAGUAGGUUUCAUUUAGGUCCAAUAUUCAAUGUUAAUAAAGGUAAACUAGCCUAGCUGGUGCCUACUUUGUCAACAAGAAGUCAAGUAAUCUUUUUUAAUACCCUAAGACUUUUUAAUACCCAAAGGAUCUGGCAGAGAGGAUAUGAGAUGGACUCAGAAGCAAAGAAACUAGUCUAAUACAAAACAUAUAUUUUCCACCUGUGUCCUAAGUAUCAGUAUGAAAAUGGACAGCAAGAUGCACUAUAGGAGACAAUAUAAUGCUUUCAACUUUCUAAACUUGAUGAAUUAGGGGGCGCAAUGAGAAAGUAGUGUGCUAACAGCAAGUAUGCAUAAACCAGGAGUAGAAUAAAUAAGGUUAGAGACGGACUCUAGAGGGUCUUAAGCACUAAGCUGAUGGAGUUUGAAUUUUAUCCAGUGUUGUGAUAAGCAGCCACUGAGCUGUAGAGCUGGGCUUUCAAAAAAUUCACCUGGAAGUAGUAGAGAACCAGGGAGACUAGUACUGUAAUAGUUGUGGCAAAAAUCACAAGAGUCUAUUAACAAACAUUACAAUCUUUAGGUUGCUUUAAAAUUCUGGUUACAGAGAGAAAAAGAUUUAAAAUAUUUGAAAACUAUUAUGGGAUUAGAUAUUCAUUUGCUUCAUUCUCAAACAACAUCCUGGCAGCAGGUAUGCUGCAUAAUGCAGUGGCGUUUAAUUAUUAAGAAGCAAAAACCUUAAAAUUACAUUGAUCAGUAAUCUCAGACAUAAUGCUUUUUUUUUUAUUUUACAAGCUUUGGCCAAAAGUGAUUUUAAGAUAAUUAGAAUGUGACACUUUGACAAUAUAACAAAAAAUGACUUAAGGGGUAUAAUAAAUGGGUUUUUAAAAUUAACUGGAUAGAUCAAAUGUUAAAAUGGAUGUCAGAGGAAUUAUAAAUCCCAGAAGGUUAACAGCUCACUGAUUGGAAAAUUAGCAUAUAUUUUUGCUCCAAUGGUCACUUACUUUUCCUUGAUGGGUCCUGCCUGCCUGCCUCACUAAUACCCAGCAGGGUUCCAAAUGGGGAAAUUGCCUCAUACUCGUUUCAGCAACGUCUCUCCCUGCAAUGGUUAUCCAUGGCAGAAAAUACAAAGAGGCAGAUCAUUUCAACAGGAAAGUCUUAUUGUUCUUCUGGUUCCAGGAGAAGGACCACUGCUGCCUAUGUACUUCUUCCCAUUCCCAAACUGCACCCCUCAAAACAAACAAAAAAACCCCAAAAAGACAAACAUCCCCAAAAAACAAAACAAAAUACCUCAACAGAAAACUAAUAAGCAAAGCCUAGAAGUUCACUCAGAACUCAGGCUUAACUGCUCAUCCAAAUUCUGUUCUAUGCACAUAAAGUCUUCACUUCAUAUUUUCUUGUUCUUACUAUGAUAUUUAUAUAUAGUUCCUAUAAAAAGCUUCUCAAUUUCCAAUAAGUAAGGUUCGAGUUGCACUGGAAGACAGGUAAGAGUAACUCAGGUAUAUGGGUGCAUGUGCUACCUAAUCAAGGACAAUUACAAAGUACUUUCCUAAAAACACAAGUGUGGGUCUGUUCUGCACUGACCAGCAAGCAUAUGAAUGCCUCUUGCUUAGUGCCAUACAGCCUAAGGCCACUGGAGGUCAGCAGAGAACCUGGUCCCACCAGGGGCUGACUGAUGGGACUUUCUAGAUUCAAGGCAGCAAGCAUGACCACCAAGGAGAAUAAUGAAUUACGCUCCUGAAUUCCCCAAAUGAUAAGACUGCAGAAGAUAAGAUGUGAAGCAAGUUGAAGCAAGGCCAUGUUUUAAUUGUGUGCAUAUGUACAUGCAUGUGUACAUGUGUGUCUAUGUGUGUUUCGAAAUUUUGGAAAGCAGACAGUUACAAAGAAGAAAACAAGAACCACUUCCAACCACCACUGGAGAAAACCACUAUUAACAUUUUGGCUUAUAUUUUGGUAACUUUGAAGAAAAGUUGCUUAACUAGCAGAGAUAUAUUUCAAUUCAGAAAAAAUAAACUCUGAGGUUAGUCAAAUAGUAAAGUGAUAGCAUCAAUACUUGCAGAAUGGGUUUUAGCAGCUUGGAAGAAAUUCCUAGAGAGAGUAGAGCAUUACCAAUACUCUUAAUGGCAUGGAGGCCAAUACUGUGUAAAAAAACAAAAACAAAAACAAAAAACUCGACUCAGUUGAGAAAUGAUGCACAAGAGUCAGACUCUAGUUUCAGAAUAACUUGAACAAAUUUAUUUUCCUUUUAAGGCACACACAAUAAUGACAGAAUUUUUAAAAUCUAUUUCUGAGUCUAAAAUAGUUUUCACAAUAGGUAUAAAAAAAUUCUAAGUGUCCCUAUCUCUCACCAUAAACAAAAAUCAACUCAAGAUGGAUUAAAGACAUAAAUCUAAGACCCGAAACUAUAAAACCAGUAGAAGAAAACAUAGGGGAAAUGCUUUAGCACAUUGGUCUGUGCAAAGAUUUUUAUGGAUACUGCUUUAAAUGCACAGGCAAAAAAAAAAGCAAAAAUAGACAAAUGGGAUUUUAUCAAACUAAAAAGCUUCUGUAGGGCAAGGGAAACACUCAACAGAGUGAAGAGGCAACCUGAGAAUUAGUGGAAAUAUCUGUAAACUAAUCAUCUGAUAAGGGAUUAACAUCCAGAAUAUACAAGCAACAACAACGACAACAAAAUCCUAUUUUAAAAAGGACAUGGCAUCUCAACAAACAUUUCUCAAAAGACAUACAAAUGGCCAAAAAGCAUGUGAAAAAAAAUUGUCAGUUUCACUAAUCAUGUGGUUACAUACAAAUCGAAACCACAAUGAGAUAUCAUUUCACCCCAGUUAGAAUGGCUAUUAACAAAAAUGUGAAAAUAAUUAAUACUGCAGAGGAUUUGGAGAAAGGGAAACAUUCACAUGUUGUUGAUGAGACAGUAACGUAGCACAGCCACUAUGGAAGACAAAAUGGAGGUUCCUCAAAACCUAAAAAUAGAACUACCACAUGAUCUAGCAAUUCCAUUACUGUGUAUUUAUCCAAAGAAAAGGAAAUCAGUAUAGCAAGGACAUAUCUGCACCACCGUGUUUACUGCAGCACUAUUUACAAUAGUCAAAAUAUGAAAUCAACCUAAGUGGCCAUCAACAGAUGAAUGGAUAAAGAAAAUGUGGGGCCGGGUGCGGUGGCUCAUGCCUGUAAUCCCAGCACUUUGGGAGACCGAGGCGGGCAGAUCAUGAGGUCAAGAGAUUGAGACCAUCCUGGCCAACAUGGCGAAACCCCGUCUCUACUAAAAAUACAAAAAUUAGCCGGGCGUGGUGGUGCGCACCUGUAGUUCCAGCUACUCAGGAGGCUGAGGCGGGAGAAUCACUUGAACCCAGAAGGCAGAGGUUGCAGUAAGCCGAGAUCAUGCCACUGCACUCCAGCCUGGCAACAGAGCGAGACUCAGUCUCAAAAACAAAGAAAAAAGAAAAUGUGGUACAUAUACACAAUAAAAUACAACUCAGGGCUGCUCUGCCUAUGGAGUAGCCAUUCUUUUAUUCCCUUACUUUCCUAAUAAACUUGCUUUCACUUUACUCUAUGGAUUCACAUCAAAUUCUUUCUUGAGAUCCAAGAAUCUUCUCUAGGGGUCUGGAUCAGGACUCCUUUCUGGUAAUAUCCUCCUGGUGAACCAUGGAGGGACGAUAUUGAGGAAACCCCCAACCCAAAAGGAAACAGACUGCAGCACCAAAUGGCCAACUCUGGGUAAGUAGUGGGGUAUCCGGGUAAAGGAUGGGAUUGGGUUAGAGGCCCAACUGAGGGGAGUUAGAGUGUCUCCUAAAAAAGAGUGGGUUAAAGGCCCCUCUUAAUAAAAGGCAAGGACAUCUGGUGGAACUUGGGUUCAAGGCCCAGCUUAGGAUGGUUAGAAUACUUCCUAAAAUUUAGGGAGUUAGAGGCCCCACUCAGUAAAGUUCCUCUCAGCUAUGAAUGGAUUUGGCAUUAUGGGGAGUUAACCACUAUUCUCUUUGGAUUAAUCUGCCUUGUACUCUUCGCUGACAGCUGUGGGUGACAGGAUUAGGCAUGUACAGGAUCACUGGACAUGGAGAGCCUUUUUUCUCCCCAAAAGGGGAAACUUGAAAGCUGGUGAGACUGUUGGAAAACCCCUUUGCAACUGACAAGUGACCGCCUGAACUUUUGAUUGAGUGUCACUGCAAUAAGUAGGUCUUUCUCUGGCCUCCCUGAGCACCUUGCCUUCCCCACCUUGCUGCAGGCAAUGAAUGCUUUUCUCCCUUUCCUAUCCUCUGUGCCCUGAGACCACAUGACAGCAGAGGUUGGAUUAAAGAUGACAGGGCCCAUCUGAGGGCAAGUUUGAACCUUGCCAAUUCCAUAUUGCAUACUAAGCAGAGUGGCUACUGUAGCGAAUCUGGUGUACUUUGUGCUGCAACUUUGUCUUUCUACAUUGCUCUGUCAUAAAGAAGAAUACCUUUAUGGACAGAACACGGGCUUAGGAUCCCAUAAGCCCAGGUUCAAGCCAGCCUGGAAAACUGGUUAAUUACAGACUUUGCUGCAAGUACCUGAAAAAAAAAAAUGCUGAAGUUUCCUUCUCAUUUUGUUCUAUGUCUUUGGGAGCUUGACCUUGUAAGAAUGGGUCAGUACUUUCUGUUGGUCUCUGCCAUCCAGGGAACAGGAGUUUUGGGGUCCAUGUCAUAGUUUGCUCAAAAAAUUAUCUUAAGCCAUUAAAAGCCUUUGCAAGCUCAAAACUGACUGCUCUAGCCUCCUUCAGGGAAGAGCAAUAGAAACUGUCCAAUGCUGUAGCUUAGUAGCUAAGGCUUUGUCUUUUCACAAUGGUGGCACAGGUUGAGGGUUCAAUUCCUGGCUUAGGGAAUAAGUCCUUUCUGGUUUGAUAUCUGUAAGACCUUUAUCAUUUGUUGACUCCCUCCCUCUCCACGAACCAUCUUGAAUUUUCCUUUCUCUGAGCACCUUGGAGGUUACCUUUGGUAAAGUUCAAAACCCAGAAAUACUGGUCAUUUGGCCUGGCUAAAGUCAGAUAAUAAGAAAUUUAAAAGAACUGUUUUUUUUUAAGAGUGCUAUGGUUAAAAGUUAGCUUAAUUAAAAGCAGAUAUUCAAGCUCUAACAGCCUGGGAUUCCCUGGGAAAAACAGAGGAGGCACGACAGACCCUGUUUUGGGAAAAACCUCUGUUUUCCUCAUGAAACCCUAGAAAUUAGAAAUAGCUAAGAUUCCUCUCAAAAUCUAAGGUUCUGUUCUGUUUUGCAUUAUGUUAUCUGACGUUUUUGACUUUGGAAGGUAUCAGAAAUUACUUUGAAUUAUGAGAGAACUACUUAAGAAAUGUAUUUUUGGGCAUGCUUAAUGGCAGUUAUAGUUUAAUACUUGACUCUGCACUUUUGGAUUAGAGAAGCAUGCUCUUGGCCCCCUAGAAGGUAUGAAAAUGUCCUCACACCCCACUGAGAGAUAAGACUCCCAUGGGAGAUGGGCUGGCUCCCUCUUUUUUUUGGGAUCCAGGAUCUGGUAUAAAAAUGGGACCCUUAAUUUGGGGGAUCUAUUUUGCAUUCCAGCUAUGCCCGCUUAUUAGGCUGUAGAAACUGCACACUUCCCUGGCCCUGUUCCUCCAGGGCUCCACCCUGAAGCCAGUAAUCCAAUUAAAAAACUGGGAAGUAAAAAAUCUUACAACUACUAGAUCUUCUGUGUAUUUAUAUAUGUUGUGUGUAGUGUAAAAAAAGCAUCUAUUGGCUUAAAACUAAUAAGUGCUUAAAUCAAGUUAUAAAUUAUGUCUUUUCUGACCUAAUUAAUCUUUUAGAUAUUAGGUCCCCUAAAGUCAAAAAAUGACAUAUUUGGCUUAUUUGGUAUGAAAAUCAUACAAGAAGCAUUGCCAAAUAUGAGAUGGUAUUUGGCUUUCUUUGGGCCGUAUUUGUAUAAAUAUGUUACUGGUAUGUGUUCUAAAAUUAUAAGAAACUCCUAUUACUCUGAAAUGACUUAGUCUAUGUUAUUAAUAAUUAUAAUUGAUAUGUAAAAUUGUUGUAUGGCACAGAAGUAAGCAAAAUUAACUUGUCAAUUGUGGCUUUAAUAGUGGCUGUCCUAAGACUUUUUGGCAUCCACAGACAAUGUUGUCUUGUAUUGAUCCUCUUCAGAAGGUGGUUUUAUAAUCAACUCUAGAACUCUAACAGGUAUUCUUGAAUGCAGGUUUCUGAUCUUUGGAGAUUCUGACUUUAGAGGAAAAAGCAUUCAGGACUCAUGGAGAGCUGAAAUGUUCGUGACUAUUAAGCAAGACAGGUAUUAACCACAUGGACCUAACUAAUAGAGGACAAAAAUAAUCUUUUUUGACUUUUUGCUUAAAAUGUUGCUGAUCCUUUGUUUAGUUUUUAAGAAUCAAGGAAACUCUUCUUUUGAGCUAUUAACAGCUUUUAAUAAUUAAGUAAAGUAUACUCCUGUGAACAAAAUUUGGAGCAUAUUUGUUUCUACCUGAUUUCUCCAGAAUUUGGAAACUAUUUGUAAGUAUUCUUAACUUAUGGCAAUACAAUUAUUUGCAUAAGUGCAAUAAGAAUGUUUUCUUUUGCAUCAUGACACAAUUGGAAAAAUUUGUUAUUUUACCAAGGCUUUGACUAGAAUGGUGUGCUUUCCUUUAAGGAAUCAACGUUGACUUGUAGAGCCAAUAAAAGCCCCUUGAGAAAACUGGCCUUACACCUUGUCUACACAGUCCCUGUACAUGGUUUCUGACCUGUGGUAAGUAAAGAAUGUCACUUUCUGAUAGGCCAAGGAGCCCCAAGUUAUCUUGGGACCUCAAGAGGAAAGGAAUUUACUAAACUCACAGGUAUUUGAGGAUACAAACCCAUGGCUGGGCUCAACUUUUUAAAAAAGUCUAACCUGAGAUUCCUUCUAUGAAAGAAAAUCCCAUUAAAGCCAAUUAAGAAAGCCUGUGUGAAAAAUAAUUAUUCUUGCUGCACUUUAUACAAAUAACUAGGCCAAGUAUAAUAAAGCAAAGCAGUCUUACCAUGAUUUAUCUUUAGUAAAAAUGAGGACUGGAGAGAGAACUAUGGUACACCUGUCUCAUCAGUUGUUUUUGAGGUUUUUUCUGCUAUUGAGACUGACUCUGCUUAUUCCUGUGAAUCAACCAGUCAUCUCUGGCUGGUACUCAGAAGCAAGAGGGAUGGAUAUCAACUUUUAUUAGAACUCAGAGUUAUGAAUGGCCCUCGACAUAUCAAUGCUUUCUGACUCAGCUCCUCUCUACCCUGAAUACAAGAGACUCUAAUAGGUAGGCAGGAAUAUCAUUGCCCCUAUUCAAGCUCAAGUUACAGAAUAUGGAUCUUUGUCCCUCUACAAUCCUUAGGAUUAAGGGUUCCCUUGUAAAAGAGAGAGGGAAAAUAUGCCAGAGGCCACUCAACCAGGUCAACUCUGUCAGAGGCGUUCAAACCAGAGUGACUCCAUGUUGCAUAGGGGUUGGGUAAAAUAAGGCUGAGGCUUACUGAGCUGCAUUCUCAGGAGGUUAGGCAUUCUAAGUCAUAGGAUGAGAUAGGAGGUUGGCACAAGAUACAGAUCACAAAAACCUUGCAGGUUGCAGUAAAGAAGCUGGCCAAAACCCAACAAAACCAAGAUGACAAUGAAAGUGAACUCUGGUCAUCCUCAGUGCUCAUUAUGAUAAUUAUUAAUAUAAUGCAUUAUCAUGCUAAAAAACAAAACACUCCCAGCAGCACCAUGACAGUUUACAAAUGACACGGCAAUGUCAGGAAGUUACCUUACAUGAUCUAAAAAAGGCAGGAAGUUCCAGGAAUUGCCCACCACUUUCCUAGAAAACUCAAAUAAUCCACCCUUUGUUUAGCAUAUAAUAAAGAAGUAACCAUAAAAAUAGCCAGCCAGCAGCCCUUGCGGCUGCUCUGCCUAUGCAGCAGCCAUUUCUUUUAUUCCCUUGCUUUCCUAAUUAAUUUGCUUUCACUUAAUUAAAAAAAACAAAAAAACAAAAAACAAAGAAAAAGAAAAAGAAAUACAACCCAGCCAGUCAAAAAGAGAAAGACAGGAAUAGUAUUAAUCUGUAAAUUGUUUUGGGCAGUAUGGCCAUUUUAACGAUAUCAAUUCAUUUCCACAGAAUUAGAAAAAACUAUUGUAAAUUCAUACAGAACCAAAAAAGAGCCUCAAUAGCCAAAGCAAACCUAGGCAAAAAGAACAAAGCCAGAGGCAUCGUAUUACUGGACUUCAAACUAUACUACAAGGCUAUGAUAACCAGAACAGUAAGAUACCAGUACAAAAACAGACACAUAGAAUAAAGGAACAGAAUAGAGAACUCAGAAAUAAAGCCACACACUUACAACCACCUGAUCUUCUACAAAAUCAACAAAAAUAAGCAAUGGAAGAAGACUCUCUAUUCAAUAAAUGGUAUUGGAAUAACUGGCUAUCCAUAUGCAAAAGAAUGAAACUGGACCUCUACAUAUCAUCAUAUACAAAACUUAAGUCAAGACAGAUUAAAGACUUAAACAUAUGACAUCAGACUAUAAAAAUCCUAUAAGAAAACCUAGGAAAUACCUUUCUCAUCAUUGGCCUUGGCAAAAAAUUUAUGGCUAAGACACCAAAAGCAACUGCAACAAAAACAAAAACUGGUAAGUGGGACCUAAUUAAACUAAAGAGCCUCUGAACUGCAAGAAAAACUACCAAGGAAGCAAACAAACAACCUACAGUAUGGAAGAAAAUAUUUGCAAAUGAUGCACUCAACAAAGGUCUAAUAUCUAGAAUCUAUAAGGAACUUAUUAAAUCAAUAAACAAAACACGAAUAACCCCAUUAAAAAGUAGGCAAAGGCCUGUAAUCCCAGCACUUUGGGAGGCCAAGGUGGAUGGAUCACCUGAGGUCAGGUGUUCAAGACCAGCCUAGGCAACAUGGUGAAACGCCAUCUCUACUAAAAAUACAAAAUUAGCCCGGCAUGGUGGCAUGUGCCUGUAAUCCCAGCUAUUUAGGAGGCUGAGGCAGGAGAAUUGCUUGAACCCGGUAGGCAGAGGCUGCAGUGAGCCAGGAUUGUGCCAUUGCACUCCAGCCUGGGCAACAAGACCGAAACUCUGUCUUAAAAAAAUAAGAAUAAAAAUAAAAACAAAAAGUAAAUAAAAAAACAAAAAGUGGACAAAGGAUGUGAACAGACACUUUUCAAAAGACGACAUACAAGCAGCCAACAAACAUAUGAAAAAAUGCUUAUUAUCGCUAAUCAUCAAAGAAAUGCAAAUCAAAACCACAAUGAGAUACCACCCCAUGCCAGUCAGAAUAGCUUUUGUUAAAAAGUCAAAAAAGAACAGAUGAUGGCAAGGCUGAAGAGAAAAUGAGGCACUUAAACAACUGUUGAUGGGAAAGUAAACUACUCCAACUGUGGAGAGCAGUGUGGAGAUUUCACAAAGAACUAAGAGUUGAACUGCCAUUCAACCCAGCAAUCCCAUUACUGGGGAUAUACCCAAAGGAAAAUAAAUUGUCCUACCAAAAGGACACAUGCAUGCAUAUGUUCCUCGCAGCACUAUUCACAAUAGCAAAACCACAGAACCAACCUAGGUAUCCAUCAACAGUGGACUGGAUAAAGAAAAUGUGGUACAUAUACACAACUGAUUACUAUGCAGCCAUAAAAAUCAACAAAAUCAUUUCCUCUGCAGGUGUCCAUCAAUGGCAGACUGAAAAAGAAAAUGUGGUACAUAUAUGCCAUGGUACACUAUGCAGCCACAUAUAUAAGAAUGAAAUCAUGUCCUUUGCAGCAACCUGGAUGCAGCUGGAGGCCAUUAUCCUAAGUGAACUAACACAGAAACAGAAAACAAAAUACUGCAUGUUCUCACUUUUAAAUGGGAGCAAAACAUUAGGUAUACAUGGACAUAAAGAUGAGAACAAUAGACACUGUGGACUACUAGAGAGAGGCAAAAGCAAGUGGGGCAAGGACUAAAAAGCUACCUAUUGGGUACUCUGCUCACAGCAGGUUGACAGGUGCAGUUAUACCCCAAAUCUCAAAACACCGCAAUAUGCCUUACUGUAAUAAUCCUGCACAUAUACCCCCAUGUACCCCCGAUUCUAAAAUAAAAGUUGAAAAUGAACAAAAAAGGAUGAAAUCCUGUCAUUUGUGGCAACAUAAAUGGAACUAGAGGACAUUAUGUUAAGUGAAAUAAGCCAGGCACAGAAAAAUAAAUACUGCAUGUUCUCAUUCAUAUGUCGGAGCUAAGAGAGUUGAGCUCAUAUAAGUAGAGAGUAGAACUGUGGUUAUUAGAGGGUGGGAGGGGUAGUGGGGAGGGGAGGAUAGGGAGAGAUUGCUUAACAGAUUAAAAAAAAUUACCUCUAGAGAGAGGCGGAGCAAGAUGGUGAAACAGAAAGCUCCACCAAUUGUCCCUCCUGCAAAGACACCAAUUUAACAACUAUCUACACAAAACAAGCACCUUCAUAAGAACCAAAAAUCAGGUGAACACUCACACUACCUAGUUUUAACUUCGUUUCACUGAAACAGGCAGUGAGAAGGUAGAAAAAACUGUCUUGAAUCACCAACACCACCCCUCACUCAUCCCCUGGCAGCAGCUGCACAGUACAAUAAACAGUGAUUGGGAGAAGGAGAGCACAGCAAUUGUGAGACAUUGCCUUGAACUCAGGGCUUCCCUGUUAUAGCAGAAAGCAAAAUUGAACAGAACUCAGCUGACGCCCACACAUGGAGGGAGUAUUUAAACUAGCCCAAGCCAGAGGAAAAUCACCCAUCUCAGCAGUCAGAACUUGAGUUCUGGCAAACAUUACCACCUUGUGCCACAGUGCUCUGGGCCCCUAAAUAAACUUGAAAGGCAGUGUAGGCCACAAGAACUGCAACUUCUUGGCAAGUCUUAGGGCUGAACUGGACUCAGAGCCAAUGGACAUGGCGGGCAGAUAUAUGACCUACUGAGACACCAACCAGGAUGGCUUAAGGGGCUGCUGGCAUCACCCCUCCGUUAACCCCAGACUGCAUAGCUCACCACUCCAAAAGAGACCCCUUCCUUCUGCUCAAGGAGAGGAGAGGGAAGAAUGUUGAGGACUUUGUCUCGCAUCUGGGAUACCAGCUCAGUCACAGCAAGACAGGGCACCAGACAGUCGUGAAGCACCCUUUCCAGGCCCUAGCUCCUGGAUGACAUUUCUAGAUACAUCCUGGGCUGGAAGGGAACCUGCUGCUUUGAAAAGAAGGACCCACUCGACAGGAUUCAUCACCUGCUUACUGAAGAGCCCUUUGGCCUGAAUAACCAGCAGCAAGAGAAAAGAAAGAAAUAACAUAAAAUGGAACUCCAAUAGGUCUGGCAGCAGACUUUUCAGUGGAAACCUUACGUGCCAGAAGAGGGUAGCAUGAUAUAUUCAAACUGCUGAAGGAAAAAGACUUUUAUCCCAGAAUAGUGGGAUAACAUCCCACUAUUAUUAUAGUGGCAAAAACAUCCUUCAAAUAUGAAAGAGAAAUAAAGACUUUCCCACACAAACAAAACCUGAGGGAUUUCAUCAACAUCAGAUGUGUCCUACAAGAAACGUUAACGUGAGUAUAUUAAUGAGAAAGAAAAAGACGUUAAUAAUAAGAAAUCAUCUGAACGUACUAAAGUCACAGAAAAUAGAAAGUACACAGACAAACAGAAAAUAUUAUAACACUAAUUGCGGUGUGUCAACUACUUUUAAGUAAAAAGACUAAAUUAGGGACCAAUCAAAAAAUAAUAACCCCAACAACUUUUCAAGACAAAAAGUACACAGAGAUAUAAACAGAAACAACAAAAAGUUAAAAAGCAGGGAGAUGACGUUAAAGUGUACAGUUUUUAUUAGUUCUCUUUUUGCUUGUUCAUUUGUUUAUGCAGUGUUAUCAGCUUAAAAUAAUGAGUUAUACGAUAGUAUCUGGAAGCCACAUGGUAACCUCAAAUCAAACAUACAACUGAUAAAUAAAAAAUAAAAAGAAAUGAAAUCAUAUCACCAGAGAAAAUCACCUUCACUAAAAGGAAGACAGCAAGGAAGGAAAGAAGGAAGAGAAGACCACAAAACAAUGAGAAAAGAAAUAACAAAAUGGAAGGCGUAUGCCUUUACUUAUCAAUAAUAACACUGAAUAUAAAUGAACUAAACUCUUCAAUCAAAAGACACAGACUGGUGUAAUGGAUUUAAAAAAAAACAAGACCCAAAGAUCUGUUGCUUACAAAAAACACACUCUACCUCUAAAGACAUACAUAGACUGAAAAUAAAGAAAUGGAAAAAGAUAUUCCAUGCCAAUGGAAACCAAAAAAGAGCAAGAUCACUAUACUUAUAUCAGACAAAAUAGAUUUCAAGACAAAAACUAUAAGAAGAGACAAAGAAGGUCACAUAUAAUGACAAAUGGGUCAAUUCAGCAAGAGGAUAUAACAAAUGUAAAUACAAUGCAUAUACAUAUGUAAUGCAUGUAAUACAAUGUAAAUAUAUACGCACCCAACACUGGAACAUCCAGAUAUAUAAAGCAAGUAUUAUUAUAGCUAAAGAGAGACCCCAACACAAUAAUAGCUGGAGACUUAAAUACCCUACUUUCAGUCUUGGACAGAUCUUCCAGACAGAAAAUCAACAAGGAAACAUCACAGUUAACCUGCACUAUAAACCAAAUGGACCUAACAGAUAUUUACAGAACAUUUCAUCCAAUGGCUGCCGAAUACACAUUCUUUUCCUCAUCACAAAGCUCAUUCUCAAGGACAGACCACAUGUUAGGUUACAAAACAAGUCUUAAAACGUUCAAAAAAAUUGAAAUUAUCUCAAGCAUCUCCUCUGAUGACAAUGGAAUAAAACUAGAAAUGGAUAACAAGAGAAAUCUUAGAAAUUAUACAAUUACAUGGAAAUUAAUAUGCUCCUGAAUGACCAGUGGUCAAUGAAGAAAUUAAGAAGGAAAUUGAAAAUUUUAUUGAAACAAAUAAUAAUGGAAAUACAACAUACCAAAACCUAUGGGAUUCAGCAAAAGUAGAACUAAGAGAGAAGUUUAUGGCUACAUCAAAAAAUAAGAAAAAACUUCCAAUAAAUAACCUAAUGAUACCUCUUAAAGAAUUAGAAAAGCAAGAUCAAACCAAACCCAAAAUUAGUAGAAGAAAAGAAAUAAUAAAGAUCAGGACAGAAAUAAAUGAAAUUGAAUUGAAAAAGACAAUACAAAAGCACAGGUAACAAAAAGUUGGUUUUUUGGUAAGUUUUACAAAAUUGACAAACCUUUAGCCAGACUAUGAAAAAAAGAGCGAAGACCUAAAUAAAUAACAUCAGAAAUGAAAAAGGAGACAUCACAACUGAUACCACAGAAAUUCUAAGGAUCAUUAGCAGCUACUGUGUGCAACUAUUUGCCAAUAAAUUGGAAAAUCUAGAAGAAACUGACACAUUCCUAGACACAUACAACCUACCAAGAUUGAGCCAUGAAGAAAUCCAAAACCUGAACCGACCAAUAACAAAUAAUGAGAUCGAAGCCAUAAUAAGAAAGCUUCUGGCAAAAAAAAAGCCCAGGACCUGAUGGUUUCACUGCUGAAUCCUCCCAAACAUUUAAGGAAGAACUGAUACCAAUCCUACUCAAACUAUUCCAAAAAACAAAGGAGGAGGGAAUACUUCCAGACUUAUUCUAUGAGAACAGUAUUAUCCUGACACUAAAACCGGACAAAGGCACAUCCACACAAGGAAAACUACAGGCCAAUAAAUAUUGAUGCAAAAAUCCUCCACAAAAUACCAGCAAACCAAAUUCAACAGUACAUUAGAAAGAUCAUUAAUCAUGACCAAGUGAGAUUUAUCUCUGGGAUGUAAGGAUGAUGGUUCAACAUAUGCAGAUCAAUCAAUGUGAUACAUUAUAUCAAGAAAAUGAAGGAUAAAAAACAUAUGAUUAUUUCAAUUGAUGCUGAAAAAGCAUUUGAUAAAAUUCAACAUUCCUUCAUGAUAAACACCCCCAAGGAACUUGCAGAGAAGGAACAUAUCUCAACUUAAUGAAGACAAUGUACAAUAGACCCACAGCUAGUAUCAUACUGAAUGGGGAAAAACUGAAAGCCUUUCCUCUAAGAUUUGGAAUACAAGGAUGCCCACUGUCACUAUUAUUCAACAUAGUACUGGAAGUCGUAGCUAGAGCAGUCAGAUGAGAGAAAGAUAUAAAGGGAAUCCAAAUUAGAAAGGAAAAAGUCAAAAUAUCCUUGUUUGUAAAUAAUAUGAUCUUAUAUUUUGAAAAACCUAAAGACCACUAAAAAACUAUAAGAACUGAUAAACAAAUUCAAUAAAGUUGCAAGAUACAAAAUCAACUUACAAAAAUCAGUAGCAUUUUUAUACGCUAACAGUGAACAAUCUAAAAAAGAAAUAAAAAUGUAAUCCCAUUUACAAUAGCUACAAAUAAAAUAAAAUACCUAGGAAUUAACCAAAGAAAUGAAAGAUCUCUACAAUGAUAAUUAUAAAACAUCGAUGGAAGAAACUGAAAGGGACAAAAAAAGGAAAGAAAUUCUAUGUUUAUGGAUUGGAAGAAUCAAUAUUGUGAAAAUGUUAUUACUACCAAAAGCAAUCUACCUAUUCAAUGCAAUCCCUAUCAAAAUACCAAUGACAUUCUUCACAGAAAUAGAAAAACAAUCCUAAAGUUUAUAUGGAACCACAAAAGACGCAGAAUAGCCAAAGUUAUCUUAAGCAAAAAGAACAAAACUGGAGGAAUCCCAUCACCUGACUUCAAAUUAUACUACAGAGGUAUAGUAUUAGGUUGGCACAAAAGUAAUUGCGGUUUUUUGCCAUAAAAAAAAAAGGGCAAAAAUCGCAAUUACUUUUGCACCAACCUAUAACCAAAACAGCAUGAUACUGGCAUAAAGAACAGACACAGGCCAGGCGCAGUGGCUCACGCCUGUAAUCUCAACACUUUGGGAGGCUGAGGCUGGUGGAUCACGAGAUCAAGAGAUCGAGACCAUCCUGGCCAACAUGGUGAAACCCCAUCUCUACCAAAAAUACACUAAUUAGUUGGGUAUGGUGGCACGUGCCUGUAGUCCCAGUUACUUGGGAGGCUGAGGCAGAAGAAUCACUUGAACCUGGGAGGUGGAGGUUGCAGUGAGCCGAGAUUGCGCCACUGCACUCCAGCCCCGCGACAGAGCAAGAUUCCGACUCAAAACAACAACAACAACAACAACAAUAAACAAACAAAAAACAGACAGAUAUAUCAGUGCAACAGAAAAUCCAGAAAUAAAUCCAUAUAUCUACAGUGAACACAUUUUUGACAAAGGUUCCAAGAACACACACUGGGGAAAGGACAGUCUCUUCAAUAAAUGGUACUGGAAGAACUGGAUAUCCAUAUGCAGAAGAAUGAAACUAGACCCCUAUCUCUUGCCAUACACAAAAAAUCAAAUCAAAAUGGAUUAACGACUUAAAUCUCAGACUUCAAACUAUGAAACUACUACAAGAAAACAUUGGGGAAACUCUCCAGGACACUGGAGUGGGCAAAGACUUCUUGAGCAAUCUCCGAUAGGCACAGGCAACCAAAGUAAAUAAAUGGACAAAUGGGAUCACAUCAAGUUAAAAAGCUUUCGCACAGCAAAGGAAACAAUCAACAAAGUGAAAAGACAACCCACAUAACUGGAGAAAAUAUUUGCCAACUAUCCAUCUGACAAGGGAUUAAUAAUGAAAAUAUAUAGGGAACUCAAACAACUCUAUACUCAAAAAUGUAAUAAUCUGAUUAAAUAAUAAGCAAAAUAUUUGAAUAGACAUUUCUCAAAUGAAAACAUACAAAUGGGAAACAGGUAUAUAAAAACGUGCACAACAUCACUGAUCGUCAAAGAAAUGCAAAUCAAAACUACAAUGAGAUACUAUCUCACCCCAGUUAAUAUAGCUUUCAUUCAAAAGACAGGCAAUCAAAUGCUGACGAGUAUAAGGUGAAAAGAGAACCCUCUUGCACUGUUGGUAGGAAUGUAUAUUAGUACAAUCGCUAUGGAGAACAGUUUGGAGGUGACUCAAAAAAAGUAAAAAUAGAACGACCAUAUGAUCCCAUGAUCCCAAUGCUAGGUAUACACCCAAAGGAAAGGAAAUCAGUAUAUGCAAGAGACAUUUGCACUCCCAUGUUCAUUGCAGCACUAUUCAGAACAGGCUAGAUUUGGAAGCAACCUAAGUGUCCAUUGACAAACAAAUGGAUAGAGAAAAUGUGGUACAUACACAUAAUGGAGUAUUACUAAUCCAUAAAAAAAAGAAUGAGAUCCUGUCACUUGCAACAACAUGGAUGGAACUGGAGGUUACUAGGUUAAGUGAAAUAAGCCAGGCACAGGAAAACAUUGCAUGUUCUCACUUAACUGUGGGAGCUAAAACUUAAAACAACUGAACUCAUGGAGAUAGAGCAUAGAAGGAUGGUUACCAAAGGGUGGAAAGGGUAGUCGAGGGUCAGGGAGGGAUGGUGAAUGGGUACAAAAAAGUAGUUUGAAAGAAUCAAUAGGCCGGGCGCAGUGGCUCAUGCCUGUAAUCCCAGCACUUUGGGAGGCCGAAGCGGGCGAAUCAUGAGGUCAGGAAAUCGAGACCAUCCUGGCUAACAUGGUGAAACCCAGUCUCUACUAAAAAUACAAAAAAUUAGCCAGGCAUGGUGGCGGGCACCUGUAGUCCCAGCUACUCAGGAGGCUGAGGCAGGAGAAUGGCCUGAACCUAGGAGGUGGAGCUUGCAGUGAGCCGAGAUAGCGCCACUGCACUCCAGCCUGGGCAACAGAGCGAGACUCUGUCUCAAAAAAAAAAAAAAAAAAAAAAAAAAAAAAAAAGAUAAAUAAGACAUAGUAUUUGCUAGCACAACAGGGUGACUAUAGUAGAAACUAAUUUAAUUGUACUUUUAAAAAUAACUUAAACCGUAUGAUUCGAUCUCAAUCGUUUUAAAGACAAAGGAUAAAUGCUUGAAGUCAUGGAUACCCUGAUGUGACUAUUACGGACUUCAAAAUAUCUUUUGGCCUGGCGCAGUGGCUCACGCCUGUAGUCCCAGAACUUUGGGAGGCUGAGGCGGGUGGAUCACUUGAGGUCAGGAGUUCGAGACCAGCCUGGCCAACAUGGUGAGACCCUGUCUCUACUAAAUCUACAAAAAUUAGCUGGCCGUGGUGGCGCACACCUGUAAUCCCAGCUACUCAAGUGGCUGAGGCACAAGAAUCGCUUGACCACUGGAGGCAGAAGUUGCAGUGAGCUGAGAACGCGCCACUGUACUCCAGCCUGGGAGACAGAGCAAGACUCUGUCUCAAACAGAAAAAAAAAAAAUUCUUGUAAUCCAUAAAAAUAUACACCCUACUAUGUAUCUACAAAAGUUAGAUAAAAAUAAAUUACCUCUAGACAGGAGAAAUAAGUUCUAGUGUUGUUCUACAGCACUGUAGGGUGACUGUAGUUAAUAAUAAUUUAUUGUAUAUUUUUGAGUACUAGAAGAGAGGAUUAUCCUGAUGUAACCAUUAAACAUUAUAUACAUGUAUUCAAAUAUUACUCUGUAUCUCAUAAAUGUUUAUCACAUAUGAAUUAAAAAUAUAACUGAUAAGAAAGCUUUGUGUUGUAGUUCAUUUUUUCUUUUGUACAUAAAAUUUUGCCUUACGAUCAAUGAUGAGUUAGACUGGGUAUAAACUAUGGCAGUAUUUAUUUCAUUUUUGGAAAAUAAUGAUAACUGUAGUGCCUACAAAACAGUUCAUAAGUGCUGGUACUGUUUACUAUUCAUUUAUCUAUCCAUCUGUUCAACAAUUACAACUGAACACCUACUAUGUGCUAGAUACCAUUCCAGUGCUAGGAAUAGAAAGGUAAAAACAUAAGGUCUCUACUCUCAUAGAGCCAUUUUAUCAUUAUUAUUGUCAUUAUUAACAUCACUGCUGCUGCUGCUACUACUAGUUGUUUCCAUAGGCUAGAAUAUUAAAUGAAAUUCUUUUUUUUUUUAAUGGACAGAACAGUAUGAACAUAUUAAACGAAAUUCUUAAAUGAAUGAAAAUGAAAAACUCAGGACAACCACACAGAGAACUGUGGGUCAGUUUCUAGAAGCCAUCAAGUAGCUCAACUCCAAGCAUUCCUCAAAAUGCUGGCAAAAGCCUAUUCAAAGAAAGUUUUUAAAAAUUCAAUAAUUGUGUUGAAGGUCAUUUAUUACAGUGAAAAUAAGCAAAUUACAAUUAACAAUAUCACAAUACUCUGUAUACUGCAGAUUUCUAGCUUCUUACACAUACUUUUUCAAAAACUCCAAGGAAGUAAGGCGCUCCUAGCUUUUUCCUUAAUCAAUGACAAACUACAGGUUCAGGACUUUUAAAAUACCAAGUUUCUAAAAAUUUGUAAAAUUUCAAACUUACCAAAAAAUUGCAAUUGCAUUUUUAUUUAUAUAAUGACCCAUUAUAGACUAUUUAAACAGACUAUUUUAUAACCUGUAAUAGGACAUUUUAAGUUGUUUUUAUUCAGAAAUGGGCGAAUUCUCCAUUUCUAUGGGGAAUUCAAUUUAAAUUACUUUAUUUUGACUUUCAAAUAGCAUAGUUAACUGAUAAAAGCUGUAUCGUCCUGGGUUCCAGUCUGGCUCCCUCCAUUUACUAUGCAACCUUGGGAAAUAACUUAGCCUCUCUGUAUCUUUCAGCCUCUUCAUCAGUAAAAUGGUAACACAGUCCAACUCUCUGAAAGGUCAGUGCUCUCUCCUACCUCAGAAACUUCACAUCUACUGCUACUUCCAUCUAAAACACUCUUCUUCCACUACUUCACUUGAAAAUUCCUACUCUUCCUUCACUUUUUUUAAUCAUUUCCUCGAAAACGUCUUCCCUAUCCCUGCAGACUAAGUCAGACUCAUCAUUUUGUAGCAUUCAAUACCUUCCCGUCAGAAUAGAUAUCACAAUUUGCGAUUGUGUAUUGUACUCUCUUGCCUUUCUGGGUGUGUUUGGUUCAUUGCUGUAGCUAUAGAACCUUCCACAUAGCAUUACAUAAGGUAGGCAUAAAUUUUUUUGUUGUUAAAUGAAUAAUACUACUUAACUAGAGGUGUAAUGCGUCGUGGUAAAGAUAACUAAAAUAUCCGAAAGAACAUGUCUAAAAUCAAGUAAGCACUCAAUAAGUAGUAGGGUUUUUUCCCAGGCAAUUUGACUAGAAACUUUUUACAGGAACUUUUCCAAGAAAUAAUACUGUGACUUUGGAUAAAAGGUCUCAGUGAAGCAGUGAGUUGGAAGCAAGGCAGACAGACUAAAGUACUCAAGGGCAGGACAGAGUAGGCUAACAUAAUACCAGACAGGUGAUUGAUACAAACAAGACAUACGUGGGCAUGAUGAUAUCUUGAUUCUGAGGCCACCUUCUGUCCUUGCUAGGAAGCUUCUUACAGAUCUUCUGCCUAACAAAAACUAAUCCUAAAGCAACAAGUAGGUACACUUGGUUGGAAAGAAUACUGUAAGGAAAUACAGACCACAAGAAUUAAAGCUUUUAAUUUGCAAAAAAAACCUAAUUGUCUAAGUAGAAAAUCUAUGGACUGUAUUUAUAAAACUUAUUGGAGCUAAUAAGUUUUAGUAUAUAGGGUCAAUAUAAAAAAUCAAUCUUAUUUCUAUAAACUAGCAACAAAAAAACUAAAAAUUAAAAUUUAACAAUCAAUGCCAUUUAUAACAGCACCCCAAAAUAAGAAAUACUUACUGAGAGAUCUCACAAAAGAUGACCAAAACAUGAGAAAAAAAAUACCAGGCAAGCCCAAAAUGAAGGACAUUCUACAAAAUUCUUAAAGAAUAUUACUCAAAACUGUCAAGGUUGUAAAAAAUGAAGACUGAGAAACAAAUAGAUCAAAGGUAACCAGGAAGACAUUAUGCCUAAAAGUGAUACUCUAGAACAACAACAACAAAAAGAUAUUAAGUGGAAGAGGGAUAAAAUCCAAAUAAAAUCCAAAUGUGCCAUAGUAAUAUAAGAUGUUGAUGUUAGGGCAAAAUAGGUAAGGAAUAUAAGGGAAUUCUCUGUAUUAUUUUUGCAACUAUAAUCUACAUAUGAUCUACAAUUAUUCCAGAAAUAAAGUUUAAAGUAUCAUUUACAAUAGCAUCAAAAAAAUAAGAAAUACUUAGGAAUAAAUCUGAUAAAGCUAUCCAAGACAUGUAGGCUGAAAAACCACAAAGCAUUGCUGGAAGAAACUGAAAAUGCCUAAAUAAAUGGAGAGAUAUACAAUCUUCAUGGAUUCGAAGAAUCAGUAUCAUUAAAAUAACAAUUUCCCACAAAUUGCCCUGAGGAUUCAAAGUAACCCCAGUUAAAAUCCCAGUCGCCUUUUAUGUUGUCAUUAAAAAUUAACAAGCUGAUUCUAAAAGUUAAAUGGAAAUCUAAAUCAACCAGAACUGCCAAACAACUCUGAAAAAAAAGUACAAAGUUGAAAGCUUUACCUGACCAGACUUCAAAACUCUUUAUAAGCUAUAGUAAUCUACGAAGUACUGGUAUAAGCACAAACAGAUCAACAGUAUAGAAGAGACAGAACAAAAAUAGACCCACACAUACAGUGUCAGUUUAUUUCAGCAAGAUGCAAUGACAGUGAAGAAAGGAUAGUCUUUUCAACAAAUAAUGCCAGAACCAUAUGCAAACAAUUGAACUCCAAUUCAUACACUAUGCCACAUGUAAAAAUUAAUUCCAAAUGGAUCACAGACAUAAGUAUAAACCUUCAUACUACCACAUUUAUAAAAGAAAACAUAGCAGAAAAUCUUUGUGAUCCUGUGUGAGGCAAAGACUUCUUAGAUACAACAUCAAAACUAUAAUCCAUUUUAAAAACUGACAGUAAGACUGCACCAACAUUAAGAACAUCUUCUCUUCAAAAGACACUCAAGUUGGAGGUCUCAUACUUCCUGAUUUCAAAACAUACUGCAAGACUACAGUAAUCAAAAAGUGUGGAACUGGCAUAAAACAGACAUACAGACCAUGGUACAGAGUCCAGAAAUAACCCCUCAAAUAUAUAGUAAAAUGAUUUUUGAUGAGGAUGCCAAGGCCAUUCAAUGGGGAAAGAACAGGCUCUUCAAUAAAUGAUGCUGGAAAACCUAGAAGUACACAUGCAAAAUAAUAAAGUUGGGCCCUUACCUUGUUCCAUACACAAAAAUUAACUCAAAAUAAAUGAAAGACCUGAAUAUAAGACCUAACACUCUUAAACUCUCUAAACACUCUAAAACUCUUAGAAGAAAACAUAGGAGAGUAAAGCUUCAUGACAUUAGAUUGCAAUUAUAUCUUGGAUAUAACAUCUAAAGCACAGUCAACCAAUGUAAAAAUACAUAAGAUAGACCACAUUACCAUCAAAAAUUUCUAUGACUCAAAGGACACAAUUAACAGAGUGAAAAGGCAACCUAUAGAACAGGAGAAUUUAUUUGCAAAUCAUAUAUAUGAGGGGUGAAUAUCUAGAAUAUACAAAGAACUCCUACAACUCAACAUCAACAACAAAAACCCAAAUAACCUGAUUUUAAAAUGGGCAAAGGAGUUGAAUAAAUAUUUCUCCAAGGAAGAUAUACAAAUGACCAAUAAGCAUGUGAAAAAAUACUGAACAUCACUAAUUAUUAGGGAAAUGCAAACCAACACAAUGAGAUACCAUCUCACACCCAUUAGUAUGGCUGCUAUAAACAAACAAACGAACAAAAACAGAAAAUAGAGCCCACAGAGUCACACACACCGUAGUCCCAGCUACUCAGGAGGCUGAGUGGGAGGAUCCCUUGAGCCCAGGAGUUGGGUGGGUGGAGGGGGGAGGGAUAGCAUUAGGAGAUAUACCUAAUGCUAAAUGACGAGUUAAUGGGUGCAGCACACCAACAUGGCACAUUUAUACAUAUGUUAACAAACCUGCACGUUGUGCACAUGUACCCUAAAACUUAAAGUAUAAUAAUAAUAAAAUUUAAAAAAAAUAAAAACAACAACAAAGAGAAAAUAAGAGUGCAGGUGAGGGUGUGGAGAAACUGCAACCCUUAGGUACUCCUAAUGAAAAUGUAAAAUGAUACAGCUGCUGUGAAAGAUGGUAUGAUGUUUCUUCAAAAAAUUAAAAACUACCAUAUGAUCUAGCAAUUCCACUCCUGGAUAUAUAUUAAAAAAAAACUGGGAACUUUCUUUAAAGGUCUCAAAGAGAUAUUAGUACACUCAUGUUCAUAGCACCAUUAUUCACAAUAGCCAAGGGGCAGAAUCAACCAGUGUUCUUGAUGGAUGAUAAACAAAUCGUGGUAUAUACAUACCACGAAAUAUUAUUCAGCCUUAAAAAGUAGGGAAAUUCUGACGCAUGCUACAACACGAAUGAGCCUUGCGGACAUUAUGCUAAGUGAAAUAUGCCAGUCACAAAAAGACAGAUACUGUAUGAUUCCACUUAUGUGGAGUACCCAGAGUAAUCGCAUUUGUAGAAAAAGAAGGUAGAAAAGUGGUUGCCAGGGGCUGGGGAGAAUGGGCAAUGGGAAGCUGUUGUUUAACGGGUGUAGAGCUUCAGUUUUGCAAGAUGAAGAACUGGAGACUGGUUGCACAACAAUGUGAAUACAUUUAACAGUAUUAAAUUGUACAAUUUAAAAUGGUAAGAUAGUAAUUUUAUGUAUAUGUUACAAUUUUUUUAAAAAAAUACAAGGGUAGAAUGGGCGAAAAUAUUUGCAAAUUACAUAUGUGAAAAAAGACUUGUAUUCACAAUAUAUAAAGAACUCUCAAAACUCAGAGGGCAGGGCACAGUGGCUCAUGCUUGUAAUCCCAGCACUUUCAGAAGCCGAGGAGGAACAAUCACUUUAGCCCAGGAGUUUGAGACCAGCCUGGGCAACAUAAGGAGACCUGUCUCUAAAAAUAUUUUUUUAAAUUAGCUGGGUGUGGUGGCACAUGCUACUUGGGGGGCUGUGGUGGAAAGGCCACUGGGGCCUGGAAGGUCCGAGACUGCAGUGAGCCAAGAUUGUGCCACUGCACUACAGCCUGGGCGAGACAGUGAGACCCUGUCGCAAACAAAUAAAUAAACAAAUUUCAAUAAGAAAAUAAACAAUCCAAUAAAAAAUGUGUAAUAUUUGAACAGACACAUCAUCACAGAUACAUGAAUGUAUAUAAACAUGUAAGAAUAUUCUCAACGUCAUUAAUUAUUAGAAAAAUGCAAAUUAAACCACAAGGAGACACCACUUCACACAUAUUGGAAUAUGUAAAAUUAAAUAGACUAUCCACUCCAAGUUUUGACAAGAAUAUGGAACAACUGGAACUCUCAUGUACUAUUAGUGGGUAUAUAAAAUAGAACAAAUACUUUGGAAAAUAGUUUGGCAGUUUCUUAAAAAGUUAAACAUGGACCUACCAUAUGACCUAGCAUUUCACAUCUAGGUAUUUGCUCAGGAAAAAUGAAAACAUAUGUAUAAAGAUUUAUAUCUGAAUGUUUAUAACAGCUUUAUUUGUAAUCCUUAUUUGUAUAAAGAUUUAUAUCUGAAUGUUCAUAACAGCUUUACUUGUAAUAGCCAGCAAGUCGAAACAACCCAAAUGUCUGUCAGGAAGUGAACAGAUAAACAAAUUGUGGUAUAUAGCCACACAAUAGAAUGCCACUAAAUAAUAAGAAAUAAUAUAUGCAACAUGAAACAAUCUCAAAAUAAACAUACUAAGUCCAGAAAAAAAAAAAAACCCAGACAAAAAAAACCUCAUACUGUAUGAUUCACUUAUAUAAAAUUCUAGAAAAUGCAAACCAAUCUCCAGUGAUGGAAAGUAGAUGGUCCUUAAGGAUGAUGAAGGUGAGGUAUAGAAGGGACAGACAGGGAUCACAGAGGGGCACAAGGAAAAUUUUGGAGGAUGACAGCUAUGCUCAAUAUCUUGAUUGUGGUGAUGGUUUCAUGGAUACACACAUGUAUCAAAACCUAUAAAAUUAUAAAAUUUAAAUUUGUGUAACAUAUGUCAAUUAUACCUCAAUAAAUCUCUUUUAAAAACUGCU